rnacentral:rRNA from 1 species
UGCGUAGGCGGAAUAUUAAGUCAGUGGUGAAAUCCUGCGGCUCAACCGUAGAACUGCCAUUGAUACUGAAAUUCUUGAAUGUAGUUGAGGUAGGCGGAAUGUGUAAUGUAGCGGUGAAAUGCUUAGAUAUUACACAGAACACCGAUUGCGAAGGCAGCUUACUAAACUAUGAUUGACGCUGAGGCACGAAAGCGUGGGGAGCGAACAGGAUUAGAUACCCUGGUAGUCC